GACAGAGGGGGCAAGCGUUGCUCGGAAUUAUUGGGCGUAAAGAGCUCGUAGGCGGUUUGUCGCGUCUGCUGUGAAAACUCGGGGCUUAACCCCGGGCCUGCAGUGGGUACGGGCAGACUAGAGUGCGGUAGGGGAGACUGGAAUUCCUGGUGUAGCGGUGAAAUGCGCAGAUAUCAGGAGGAACACCGGUGGCGAAGGCGGGUCUCUGGGCCGUAACUGACGCUGAGGAGCGAAAGCGUGGGGAGCGAACAGG
rnacentral:rRNA from 1 species